rnacentral:tRNA from 1 species
GCGGGAAUAGCUCAGUGGUAGAGCACAACCUUACCAAGGUUGGGGUCGCGAGUUCGAGCCUCGUUUCCCGCUCCA